GCGACUAUCAUCUAGCGGGAGUUCCGGAG
rnacentral:sRNA from 1 species